AUACAGAGGGUGCAAGCGUUAAUCGGAAUUACUGGGCGUAAAGCGCGCGUAGGCGGUUUGCUCAGUCGGAUGUGAAAGCCCAGGGCUCAACCUUGGAACUGCAUACGAUACUGGCAAACUAGAGUGUGAGAGAGGAUAGUGGAAUUUCCGGUGUAGCGGUGAAAUGCGUAGAUAUCGGAAGGAACAUCAGUGGCGAAGGCGACUGUCUGGCUCAACACUGACGCUGAGGUGCGAAAGCGUGGGUAGCAAACAGGAGUAGAAACCCUUGUAGUCC
rnacentral:rRNA from 1 species